rnacentral:lncRNA from 1 species
CCAUCAAGGCGUACCUGGAGGCUACACCCCAUCUCUGAAAGCACUGUGUUAGAUGACCACUGGGCAGUAUGGCUUCCAAGUUGCUCCGUGAUGUCUGACUCUUUGCAGC